UGUGUGUUGUGUGUGUUGUGUGUGUGUGUGUGUGUGUGUGUGUGUGUGUGUGUUUGUGAGUGUGUUUGUGUGCAUUAUAAUACAUACAUUCACACACACACACCACCACACACACACACACACACACACACAUAUAUAUAUAUAUAUAAUAUAUUAUUAUAUAUAUAUAUAUAU